AGUCCCUGACCUGGGUAGAGUGGCAUCUGGUGGUAGUGCCUGCCUCAUAUCAGCCAGGGACAAAGCAACUCCUUGUUUAUUCCAGCUUAGCUUUUGGGCUGUGCCUGUGCCUGGUUCAUGCCCGGGACACAUGG
ensembl:snoRNA